rnacentral:rRNA from 1 species
AUUGAACGCUGGCGGCAUGCUUUACACAUGCAAGUCGAACGGUAACAGGCCGCAAGGUGCGGACGAGUGGCGAACGGGUGAGUAAUGCAUCGGAACGUGCCCAGUCGUGGGGGAUAACGCAGCGAAAGCUGUGCUAAUACCGCAUACGAUCUAUGGAUGAAAGCGGGGGACCGUAAGGCCUCGCGCGAUUGGAGCGGCCGAUGUCAGAUUAGGUAGUUGGUGGGGUAAAGGCCUACCAAGCCGACGAUCUGUAGCUGGUCUGAGAGGACGACCAGCCACACUGGGACUGAGACACGGCCCAGACUCCUACGGGAGGCAGCAGUGGGGAAUUUUGGACAAUGGGCGCAAGCCUGAUCCAGCAAUGCCGCGUGCAGGAAGAAGGCCUUCGGAUUGUAAACUGCUUUUGUACGGAACGAAACGGUCUGGGUUAAUACCCUGGGCUAAUGACGGUACCGUAAGAAUAAGCACCGGCUAACUACGUGCCAGCCGCCGCCGUAACAC